GAAAUGCGAUAAGUAAUGUGAAUUGCAGAAUUCAGUGAAUCAUCGAAUCUUUGAACGCACCUUGCGCUCCUUGGUAUUCCUUGGAGCAUGCCUGUUUGAGUAUCAUGAAAUCUUCAAAGUAAAUCUUUUGUUAACUCAAUUGGUUUCUACUUUGGUAUUGGAGGUCUUUGCAGCUUCACACCUGCUCCUCUUUGUUCAUUAGCUGGAUCUCAGUGUUAUGCUUGGUUCCACUCGGCGUGAUAAGUUAUCUAUCGCUGAGGACACUGUAAAAGGUGGCCAAGGUAUAUGCAGAUGAACCGCUUCUAAUAGUCCAUUGACUUGGACAAUACUUUUAUGAUCUGAUCUCAAAUCAGGUAGGACUACCCGCUGAACUUAAGC
rnacentral:misc_RNA from 1 species